rnacentral:lncRNA from 1 species
GGUGGAUUCAGGGGCAUAUAUGUACAUAAAAAUUCAUCGGGCUGCACACUUCAGAUUUGUUCGUUUUACUGUAUGUGUGUUAUAGCUCAUAAAGAACAAAAAGGUAUCCACAAAAGGAAGUUAUGCUUACACACAGCCAUGUCUGUCUGAACUUGUUAGGUUUAAAUCAACAUUAGUCGGCACUGAAAGCUCAUGAAGAAAAAACUAGAGUCUGCAGAGGAUUUUCCCACUGCUUCUCUCCUGCUUGUGCAAUCUCUGAAGGAAGUGAGGGCUGGAGGGGCUGUGAAUUUCCAGAAGCAAGGCUUGUGACAUUGCCUAUGUCGGGGGUCACAGGAGACAGGUGUGGUAUGGACAAGAAGAUGGACAGCAGAUCCUUGUGGUGCCUGUGUGUUUGGCAUGGAUUUGAAGGUGUUUGGGAAAGGGAGGAAAGAAGAAAAAUGUUUGAAGAAGGAAGGACGGGACCCUCGAUUUGGAAAUUAAAGUAUUCUAGGCCUGGACGCUGUGAGGAGACCAGCAUGAGCCAAGAGGACCACAGCAGCAAAUACCAAUACCCACCCACCCACCAAAAACCAAUAUCUCAUCCCUCCACUGGGCCCACAACAGUCUCCCACCUGCAGAGCUGUCAAAUUCCUGCCAGAUCAAGGUGUCCAAACCAAGCUGAAGAAUGACAUUUCAAGUAUUUUCUGAAGGAAGGGAAGGGAAGGAGGAAGGAAGGGCUGUGCAGUAAGUGACUGUUCUCACAGCUGUGAUCACGAGCCAUUGUCAUUCAAGUGCCCACCUUGUCUUGCUGUGUACUCAUUGUCUUCUAUCAAUCGGGCCAAUCCGAAGUCAGCAAUCUUGCAUAUGAGUCCAUUCCCCACUAGAAUGUUUGCUGAUCGCAGAUCUCUAUGGAUAUAAUUCAUGCGCUCGAUGUAAGCCAUUCCUGCAGCCACCUGUGGAAACCCAGGGAACAGGACAUGUUACACCACGACCCAAUGUACUUAGACACGUCAUUAAAUCUAUGGCACAUCAAGUUACCCUGCAGGGCCUACCUGUGCUGCCAUGUCCACAAGAUUUGGUAAUUUCAGAGCUCUUCCUUCUCCAUCUUUUAAGAAAUCCAGUAAACUUCCUAUGAACAAAACAUAAAAUCAUUUCAAUUUACUUUGAAAGAUAAUUCCCAACAGAGAGCUGUAUUUGGUUUUCUUAUUAAAAGUAAUAAGGUAGUCAAAUGGAAUAAUGCCAUCCACAUGGGGGGACAAAAAGGUUUAUAUAAAAAAGCAGGGUAGAAAAAAGUAUAGGCAUGGAGAAGUAACAGUUACCUUUUAAAAACAAACAGCAUUAAUUCCAUUUCUAGGAAUAACAACAUAUAUUUGAUAAAACUAGAAGAAAUGGGACUCAAUCUCCCUGUAUGUCAUAAAGAGGAACCUAUGAAGAACUGCACCUCUUCAAUCCCAUUCCCCAAUCACCCCUGCACAAAGAAUUGAUGUGGGGAAAAUACAGCCCAGCUGAGUGGUCCAAAACUGUGGUCCUGGGACCAGCAGCUACAAUAACACAAGGGAACUUGUUAGAUAUGCAAAUUCUCAGGUCCCAUCCCAGAUCGAGUAAAUCAGAAACUUUGAAGGUUGGGUCCAGAAACUUGGGUUUUAAGAAGGCCUACAGGUGAUUCUAAUAAUACAAGGUAAAGUUUGAGACUCACUAGCUUAGCUUAUUUACAGAUUUUGAAUCAAGAAAAGACAAUCUGAAGAAUAUGGGUGGGGCAGAUGGUUCCCCUUAAUUAGAUCACAGCCAGCCAAGCCUUAAAUCAGACAUCUGAAAUGAAACAUUGGAAGCUUCAGAGCCACUAUUAUAACACAGCCUAAGAAGGCUUAGAACUAACACCAAAGCAGGGAUAAUCAUUUGCAGAAGCUGGAGGCUUAUGAUGGUCAUCAGUGAUAUUUUAUGCUUUAAUCACAAAGUUAUUUACAAAAUAACCCUGGAUACAAAGGACAAACCGUUUGCCAGAAAAAAAAAUUCCCAUUAAAUUUUAAAAGAAAGUACAUGGAAAAGAAAAAUUACACUGGUAUCCUCUGAUAAACAAUGUAUUGCCUUUUAAGGCUGUUUCUUGUUUGGUUCAUCUAUUUUUCCAAAACAAAAUGAUCUCUGGCCUUAUCCCUAACAAUGCUGGUUUGAUUAGGAAGACAGAGGGGUUGUAGGGGAGAGAAUGUGAGAAUAAAUGUGGUCUCUGAAAGCAUGUAAUUUCAUCGCCUGACGUUUAAGAAGAGAGCUGGAAAUAAAAAAGAUGUUGAAAUGAUGGAGACUAAACUUAGCUUAGAGACCAGUGUCUGAUAUUAAUUGUUUAGCCCUGCAAAAAGGAAAUGUAACAAAAGCUACUACAUUCAAAAUAACAGCAAACUAUCAUAACCCUCCGUACCACCCUGAUAUUAAAAAUGAAUGUUUUAAUUAUGGAGAGGAGCUUGAAUUUCUGACACACAUAACAUGUAAAAAGUAUUUGGCAUUUCAUAAGGAUUUGGGGUGGGGUAAACGCAAGGUUAGUCUGUUUUAAAAAAUGUUUUCAUUAACGAGCACAUAACUGGUGGUUCCUAAUGGGAAUACUUGACCCAGGCAGAAACUAGAAAAGUAGCAAGUAGGAAACUUCCAUUUCUCUCCCCUAAACAACCCCUUAAGGCACUGUGAGCUGGAGACAGGAGAGGUGUUGCCCAACCUUUGUUCAUAUACUCGGUGACGAUGUAGAUGGGCUCCUCAGACACCACUGCAUAGAGCUGGACCAGCUUGUCGUGCUUCAGCUUCUUCAUGAUCUGCGCUUCCUCAAGGAAUGAUUCGGGGGACAUUGUGCCUGGUUUAAGAGUCUUUAUGGCUACUUUUGUGUUUCCAUUCCAGGUACCUACAAACAUCCCAGAAUAUGAAGUCAAACCAAAGAUCUUCUUUUGAUGGAAAAAGGUUUUGACCACCAGCUAUUUGCAUAAGAUUAGAUUUUAAAUUUAAAACACUUAAUACAGUUUUUGUUGAACAAAGACAUUCAAUUGCAAGGACUCUGUCAAGUAUUUUAACAGAAAAAAUGAGUUUAUUUGUGGUUAUGGCUAAGAUGGCUAUAUUAAGAUUUAUAACUCAUUAAAAUUUUUUUAAAUUUUGAUAUAUUACCACUCUCUCUUUUUUUGGCUCAGUCAUAUGAUUACACAUUUAUACCAAAAGCUCUGCACCAUACAGUGAUGAAAGUCCAGGGGUUGGAACAGGCCUGGCCAUCUAAUAGCUGUCCCUUAGGGAGUACAGUGUGCAUGGAAGAAAUUAGAUUAUUUAAGUUUAUGGGGUGUGCCAUUUAAAAAUAUGGCACCACAUGAGGAUGUCUGGAAAUUACCUCUAGACUUUCAAUGUCUGCAAUGGACAAGUUACUUGACUGAGUCCUUGCACAGGUGUGCCAAGCAUGCUGAUAAGCACUGGCAAGGAGCUCACAGUCUGCUUGCCAAUACUUCAACAAGGUAAGGCAAAUUUCCUCAGCUUUACUGAUGGCUAGCCACAAGAACAAUGGCUUCUGUCAGGUAGGUAGACAGGGGAAAUUAAACAGCAGCUGAGAGGGAACAGAAAUAUUUAAAUUUAGCAUGUUAAAAAAAAAUCUAGCAAAUCUGAAGGCAAGGCCUGGAUUAUGAUUGUCCUCAGUUACCUCAUCUGUAAAAUAUAGGAAUGGAACUGGAUUAUCUUUUGGGUCUCUUUCAGCCCCAGCAUUCAAAAAACAAAACCAUACCUAGGUUCUUUGUGUAUUCCAUUAUUAGACCUAUGAUGCUUAAGAAUAACUUUAUAAAGGGGAAGAAAUCUGCUAAUUUAGAUUAUUUUCUAUUUGAAAAAGAAGACUGGUUUAAAUUAAGAUUUUUAUAUUUAAUAUAACUGACUUUGGAAUUUAAGGAUUCUGUAAAUUGGAGUUCUUAUUAUCCUGUUAAAGACAUGGUUCAUACAAUUACAACAUGCAACCUACAAAAUAUAAAUUAU